CUGUAGAACACAGAAAAUACAAGUAUAACUUCUGUUGCUUUACAAAUCUAAUUACUACCUGUCAUAUUGAAUGGGCAGAAUUAGUAAAAUAAUUACUUUCGAUGUGUCUGGGAUGGUGUGUGGGUGAUGCGCAUGAAAUGGUUCUAUAUAAGGAGUGCGCGGUCACACACAUCGAGAUCAGUCGACAUGCAAUUCCUAACCACAGUGUUUCUGGUGGCUAUUAUCCCAGUGAUCCUGGGAAACACAAGGGGCAACAGGACGUGGCGUUUGUUGGAAACCAAACCAGGCCCCCCGCCGACCCAAAAGGAAGUAGCUGCGUUCAUCCAGCAGCUGGAGGCUCGAAACGUCAGCCUGAAUCUCCCCUCGUAUAUGAUCAACCUGUACCGCAGUUUCAACUCGGGGAACUAUACUGGUCUCUCCACUCACGAAAGGCCAGUGUUACCGGAGGCGGACACCGUACGGAGCCUGGUUGCAAAGAGUUUCCGUCACAAUGGGAGCCGGUGGAUUGUCACCUUUGACAUGUCCGCACUUGCAUCCGACGAGAAGCUUCAGUUCGCGGAGUUGAGGAUCACCUCGCCCGCCUUUGCCGAAUCCUGCUCGCUCUUGGAAAUCCACCACCGGUCUCAGUACCUGUGUGGACCCGCCAUCUGCCAAGACCAGUUUUUCUUGGGAUCCUUUCCUCCCGAUGUAGUGCUGGAGGACACGGCGGAGUGCGCCGUUUACAACGUUACCAACAUCCUGCAACACUGGAUGAAUCGCAACACGUCUGGUUCUGGUGGUGGACGGGGUGGCGCGCAGCGGCCGGAGAGGCUGGUCUGCAAGAGGAAGCGGUCGCUGCCUGAAGUCAACGCGAGGGGCAAGCUGGAGAGGAAGGAGAUGGCCUUGCUGUUGAUUUUCUCCAAGAGACCCCAGCAGAAUUGCUCCGAGAGCUCUUCCCUUCUGAAAGACGCAAAGGGCUCCAAGCGAGUGCGGAAGCCCCGAAGAAAGAAGAGUCGCCGGCUAAAACAGAACAGAAAGAAAGGCCGGGGUAGAGCUGGGCACAGCGGAAUCCCCAAGUAUCGACGCCCCCGGCACCACAUUAAGGGAAACAACUCGACCCUUUGUCGGAGGAUCAAGUUUGAAAUUAAAUUUGGUAAGAUCGGCUGGGGUGCCUGGGUCAUCUUCCCUAAAGUGUACAAUGCUUUCCGCUGCGAAGGAGAGUGUCCGAUUCCAGCUGGGGAGGAUGUUAAACCCACCAAUCAUGCUUACAUGCAGAGUUUGCUCAAAUUUCAUCAUCCAACCUUGGUGCCCUCUCCCUGUUGUGUCCCCACAAAAAUGAACCCACUGAGCAUGCUGUACAUAGAAAAGGGUGAGGUGGUUCUGCACCACCAUGAGAACAUGGUGGUACGAGAGUGUGGCUGUCGUUGAGCUAACUCCCUACACUGACUGCUUUCGUCAAGACUUAAGGCUGCGAGGUACCGGCAUGUUUGAGCGGCUGGGCAUUACAGAUUGCUCUGCAGUGGUGUGCUUCUACAGCUGACUGGCCAAGCAGUCCUGGGCACUGCUGGGUGGAGUAAACAAAAGUAAUUGCUCCUGGAAGUCAAAGUACACGGACAUAUUUUUAGAACUGGGUGAAAACGGUUAAGCAGUCAAAUACUCACCAGGAACUGUCCAAUGGUAAAGGCACUACAUCCAGAAAGAAGUUUCUGCCUGCUCAGAAAAAAAGUUGAAGAUGGAAGGGGGCAAGCAGAUGCAAAAAAAAAUCUGCUUUGAUACUCUGCCACAAAUAUUCUCUGCCUAAAGAUUAACACAUGACACUUGGAAAUGCAACUGCAGUCGAACACCUACACUUGGACUUAUGAGCGAACUUGAUGCCACAUAUGCGGAAAAUUCAAACUGGAUGACAUUUUACAGUGUCAGGGUUAAAAGAACAGUUGAGAUAUAAGAAACUGCAAAUGCUGGAACUUGGAGCAACAGAGUAACUCAGAUUUGAUUUCCAUUGCCCGGGGAAGAAGUUUCUGUUCACUGAUCUGAGGGGACGGUGGCGGCUCCACACUGACGCGGAAUUCACUCAGCAGCAGGGCACAGAGUGAGCGGGAUUAAUUAAAAUCGAGUGCAACACGUCUUUGGGAGUUCAGCAAUUCAUAACGCAAUCACAAACAACACGUCUUCUCGCCUCUGGAGAUGCGUGCGGGCAGGCGCUUCACAGGGGAUGGAGCUUCAAUGGAGUUAAAUCAGAAUGGGCAGGGCCGAAGAAACUUCAACCAAGGCAAUCAAUUGGACGCUGCUAGGAACUGCCCUGGAUAAAAUAUAAGGGUAUCAUUAUUGCUUUCACAGCUUUUGAAUGCAUUUAUUUUAUUAUAAAAAUAUAUAAAAUGGAAAAGCGGACAGGUUUGGGUCUCUACUCGGCACAACAAAUCAGAUCAACAAACCCUUCACUCAGAUGAACUGAAGGGAAAAUACUCGUUUAUUGUUGUCAUAGCCUGACUUUUAUUGGGUAUAAAUGCCAUGAAAAAUAAGCGUUUUGCCCCAGCUGCACGGUUCCCUGACGACAGAUGCCACCUCGCUGAGAUAUUACCUAUUGUAGAUGUACAUGGAUGAUGGGGAGAGGUUGUGGAACUGGUUGAGUCCACAAUUCCCUGUUGGCUCUUGUAUUCCUGUGCAUUGGAGUUUUCAUACCAGGCCAUGAUGUAACAAUCAGAAUGCACAUUACAUCUGUAUCAAUGCUAUAACUGUACAAGAUAGUGGUGAGAUUGAACCUUAAGGUUGUCAUAGCUGGAGGGAAGAUAGUGGAGGUGGAUAAGCUCCCACUACCUAUUAAAUACUCCAGAUGGCGUGGGUCUGAAAUAGCCUCUGACAACCAGGUCCAGCUCCUGGCCUUCACGAGUAGCUUAGCUACAAAAAGCCCAGCUGAACCAUUUCUACUGACAGGAGAAGAGCCAAAGGUGGGUCUUAGAACCGGUUGCUUUAGGUAGAUGGGGCUCAUCAGCUAUGGUUGUUAGCUCAUCUAGGAGAAGGAAAACUCUGGUAUCAAAACUCCACUGCCUUGCGGCUAUACCCACUCAGUGAAGCUAUCAGGAGUACAUCCCGAGGAAGACCCAGAGCUAGAGUCCCCAGGGCAGUCCUACUUGGAGUUCAAAAAUGACUGGAAACUUCUGCGACACAGCUGGUGCCAAACAGUAUUGGUCUCUGCCGUUCCUUUGGAUUCAUAAGUUGUGUGGAGAGAGGGAGAGCAGCUUGCACUCCAUAUUGUACUGUCUGGGCUAGAACAGCUAGAACGCAACAGUCGUGGUCAACCUCGACCAACGGAAGGCCUCAAAAUGGGCCUAGUGUGUGUGCAGUUCUGAUCGCCUAGCAAAAAGAAAUACCUGAUCAAACUGAAUAGAGUGUGAGAAUUAUGAGAAACAGGGUUCCCUGAAAGCAGCAUCACAGGUAGAAAGGGUGGUGAAGGUGGUGUUUGGCACCCUUGUGUUUAUCAGAGGAGCUUUGAGUACAGGAACUAAGGUGCCAUGUUACUGCUCUUCAUCCGUGUCUUUAAAGGAGCACAUUUUAUUUUGAAACUGUUCUCUAAUUCCAGAUUCCCCUUAAAAAGGAUAAUAUCCUGCUAGCAUCCACAUUGUCAAAACUCUUCAGAAUUUUGUUUCAAUGAAUCAUCUCUGAUUCUUCUCAACUCCAACACAGGCCCAACCUGCUGUAUUGACCCUCAUAAUAUAACCCCUUCACCCUGAUCAAUCUUAUCUGAGCUGACUACAUUGCUGUAACAAGACUUGAAUCAUUCAUUCUCCACUCCAUUAGAGUUCGUAUUUAUUGUACUUGCAAGUGGACUGAACUUCGAAUACAUGGACACCCCCAUCCCUCUGCACAACAUUCUGUGAUCUCUCUCCAUUGAAACAACAGUUUGCUCUCUCUUCUUCCCUCCAAAACGGCCAAAUUCCCAUACCUCAACUGAAUGUUGGCAUAUUCACUUCAUCCAUUUAUACCCAAUUGAAAACUCAAGCCUCUUUCACACAGCUUACUUUCCCACCCAUCUCUGGAUGCAAUGGACUAAGUCCAUUCAUCUAAAACAUUAGUAUAGGCAAUACAUUCGUAUAGACUCAUGCCAUGGUGUUGCCUGAUGUCAGCCAUCAGGAGAGAGGUGUUGGAGCUGGUGUGCUGCACUGGGAGCAGUGUGACACAGCAUCCAGGCUGGUUUUGGUGCUUUCUCUCAGCAGAAAACAAGCUGUAUUGUGGUCGACUGCAGAUUUACGCAGCGUUCAUUGACUCGGUCUGGACUAUAUAAAUAUAUUUCUUGGCAUGGUUGUAUUUUACUGAUAUCUUAGAUGCUUGCUACCUUGCAUGGUUGAGGACCAGGCCUCAAGCCUGUUCACAGCCGUCAGGAGAGAAGCGUCAGAUGAUGCGCUCCAUCGGUGCUGCCCCCAUGUUCCUUCAGCAGAAGACAAGCUAUACUGAGGUCAAAUGCAGAUUUCAGCAGCAUUCUAUUUUUUUUGUAUGGCUAUAUCCUACUGAUAUCUUUAUCUGUUUGCUGUUUUGUGUGAGCUAUGUGUGCUUUGUACUUUGUGACUGUUGGUACUCUGUUUUGCACUUUGGUCCCAGAGUAACGCUGUCUCGUUUGGCUGUAUUCACGUAUGGUUGAAUGACAUUUACACUUGAAUUGAGAUGAAUAGUCCAGUCUUGUCAGUUUUCCACUCUGACAAUGAUCCAUUUAUUCCCAAUUCCUUUCUCCUAUUAGUUAGCAACUCUCUACCCAUGUAUCAGCUGUAUUGUCCUAUGACUUUAUUUUGUGUAUAAUCCAUUGUGGCACCUUUUAGGAUCCCAGUUACACUAAAUUUACUAAGCUCCCCCUUAAUCACCUUGCUAGUUUACUACAUUCUCAAAUAAAAAUUUCAGACAUGAUUUCCCUUUUACAAUAUUAGAUAUCUCACUGAUUUUUCUUUUUUUGUGUUAGGAUAAAUACAAUUCUUCACUU